GAGCCUCCUGCUACUUAUCAACAAUGAAUUCUGGAGAAGAAUGAGGUUGCAGAGAGCCAUGGGGAUUUCUAAGGGUGGUUGCCCGUCUCUGUAAGCCGAUGAUUUUCCACAAUGUAAACAACCCUUAUUAUAUGAAGCUCUAGAGUUUAUUGGGCAUAGAAAAACCAAUGCAUUCAUGGCAGGGUGACCUUGGAGGCAAGAGUGACAUGUCACUGGUGCAACUGGGUUGGCAGCCAUGGUGGUUGUCUUCUCUACUAUGCCUAUCUAAAUACACAUCUGAGCCUUAUUUUGAUAAUGAUAAAAUUGUGUAUGGGUUGACCAGAAAGCAGUGUUUCAACUCAGGAAGGAAACAAGGCUGCAUAGGGAUGGGAUGUUCUUGGGGUGGUUGCCCAUCUGUAUGCCAAUGAUUUCCCCAAUUUUCUUCAAAAUCAACAACCCUUUGGAAUCUACUACUGAAUUAUUAUUACAACGCACUAUUAUGCUAUGUUUAUCCCUGCAAUACUGAAUACUCUCUCACUUUCAUAUUACUGUAUCAUAUUUGCAAUCCACCCACUAUUUUUGUUGUUAUUGUUAUUAUUACACAACGUACAUUGCUUUUUGCUCAUUGAGAUACUCUUAAUGUCACUGUUAAUCUUGGUAGGCUAUGAUGGUGGUAAAACCUUUCUUAGAGUUUCAUGGGCAUGGAGAUAACAAAACCUGUAUCUUGGCAGGGUAAACAUGCACAAAAUUGAUGUUUGCAGCCAUGGCGGUGUUACUCUACUUUUGCCCAAUCAUGUAAAAGAUCUGAGCCUCCAUCCUUACUCUUCAUUAAUGUGUUGAACUAAUAUAUAUGUAAAUGUGUGUGUGUGAUAGUAUAUAGCACCAUUAAUACGGUGUGUCUGUGAUUUAACUGUAAGCAAACAUUGUUGUAUGUGCAAAGCCAAAGUUUUGGUUUUUUGAAUGUUUUUUGCAUAGGGACAAUUCAGUCAGACAUGUUGGAUAGCACUUUUGCAAGGGAAAAUUUGAUGGUUGUGAAUAAUACUUGUUGAUCUCUUUUAA